CAGUAGCCGCGGAAUACGUAGGUGGCAAGCGUUGUCCGGAAUUAUUGGGCGUAAAGGGCUCGCAGGCGGUUUCUUAAGUCUGAUGUGAAAGCCCCCGGCUCAACCGGGGAGGGUCAUUGGAAACUGGGAAACUUGAGUGCAGAAGAGGAGAGUGGAAUUCCGCGUGUAGCGGUGAAAUGCGUAGAGAUGUGGAGGAACACCAGUGGCGAAGGCGACUCUCUGGUCUGUAACUGACGCUGAGGAGCGAAAGCGUGGGGAGCGAACAGGAUUAGAUACCCGAGUAGUCCCUGUCUCUUAUACA
rnacentral:rRNA from 1 species